rnacentral:rRNA from 1 species
AUUGAACGCUGGCGGCAGGCUUAACACAUGCAAGUCGAACGGUAACGGGUUGAAAGCUUGCUUUCAAUGCUGACGAGUGGCGGACGGGUGAGUAAGGCUUGGGGAUCUGGCUUUUGGAGGGGGAUAACCAUUGGAAACGAUGGCUAAUACCGCAUAGUAUCGAGAGAUGAAAGGGGUGGGAAACCACUUGCCAAGGGAUGAACCCAAGUGAGAUUAGGUAGUUGGUGGGGUAAAGGCCUACCAAGCCGACGAUCUCUAGCUGGUCUGAGAGGAUGGCCAGCCACACUGGGACUGAGACACGGCCCAGACUCCUACGGGAGGCAGCAGUGGGGAAUAUUGCGCAAUGGGGGGAACCCUGACGCAGCCAUGCCGCGUGAAUGAAGAAGGCCUUCGGGUUGUAAAGUUCUUUCGGUGGUGAGGAAGGUGGUAGUGUUAAUAGCGCUAUUGUUUGACGUUAGCCACAGAAGAAGCACCGGCUAACUCCGUGCCAGCAGCCGCGGUAAUACGGAGGGUGCGAGCGUUAAUCGGAAUAACUGGGCGUAAAGGGCACGCAGGCGGGACGUUAAGUGAGAUGUGAAAGCCCCGGGCUUAACCUGGGAACAGCAUUUCAUACUGGCGUACUAGAGUACUUUAGGGAGGGGUAGAAUUCCACGUGUAGCGGUGAAAUGCGUAGAGAUGUGGAGGAAUACCGAAGGCGAAGGCAGCCCCUUGGGAAGAUACUGACGCUCAUGUGCGAAAGCGUGGGGAGCAAACAGG